rnacentral:lncRNA from 1 species
GUCUUUAAAUGGCUUGAAUAUUGCUCUUUGGAAGUCCAAGGUCCUGACUUUGCUCUUUGCCAGGCCCACAUUCCUUGAAAUCACAAACUCAACCAAGGUGUGGUCACUGCAGUUCAGAUUUCCUCCAGUCUUUACCUCUUUAAUGAGUUCAUCAACAGGUCAGAGUAUUGCAGUACCUUCUUUAAGCACAUAUUAAAAAAAAAUAAUAGAAUAUCAGAUCCAUUAAUAUGGGAUCUUUCAGAAAUAAGCAACAAUUUAUAUGCCAGUUUAUGUUAAUUGAUCUUCAACAAUGUCUGCUCUUAAGAACUACACCUAUCAGAUCAAAGAGAAAAAUGUAAGUAUUUCUUUAUUAUCGCUUAAUUUUCCCUGCUAUAUGCAUUUACUUUUUAGAAGAGGUUAUAAGUUUUCAUUAAUAUUUGAAAGUGC